CAACCAAUGGACAGGGAGCAGCUGCCACUGAGAUUCAAGAUUUUUAUUUGCCAUUUGCUCACAGGACCAACAGUCCAUGCACACUGGAAAUGUUUUUGCAGACCUCUCCAGGACAAGUCACAUUUAAAAAAAAGAAGAAGAAGAAGAAGAAGGAACCAACCUGGACCUCCACCCAGCUCUGUGUCCUUAAAGAGUGAGUGGUCUGAAGACCGGCCCAUUUAUUUUGAAGUCCAGCCUCUGUCUGCUGCAGAGAAGUUUGCUGUCAGUAACAUGAACUCUUUGAUUUAACUGCUUGAUGCUGUUUUUGCUGCAGUGCAAACACGUCAUUCCCUCAUUCCCAUUUAAACUGUGUCUUAAAAAACAAGCCUUUGGUUUCUAAACAAUCAGAAUCCACUUCAGCAAACAGGAAAUGAUCAGUGACAACUAGUGCAACAUUUCCAGUGUAAGGCUGUCUCACCGCCAGCCACAGAAAACAUCACCACAUUUAAUGUACAAAGUAAAGACAUCAAAAACACACUCUGCAUUUUUAUUCUAAUGUAAACUAAUGCAGUGAGUAGCACACUGAAAGACUUCUUAUGUGGUCCCCUCAAAAGAGGAAUUCUGUAUCUGUAAAUGGAUCAUGGACUUUCUGACCAACAGACCCCAGCAUGUUAGGUCAGGGCAUAACAAUUCUACCAACAUCACACUACCAACAUCAGAGGGCUGUGCGCUGAGUUCAUUCCUCUAUGAAUGCAGACCUAGGUAUGGAUCCAACUCCAUCAUCAAGUCUGCAGAUGACACCAUGGUGACUGUCUCAUCAGUGACAAUGAUGAGUCUGCUACAGGGAACUUCAGGAGGGAGAAAACAGACACCCAUGUCCCCAUUUACAUAAAUGGCACAGCUGUUGAACGGGUCUCCAGCUUCAAGGUCUUGGGGACCCACAUCUCUGAGAAUCUGACCUGGUCAACUAACACCUCCAGCCUGGUCAAGAAGGGCCAUCAGCGCCUCUUUUUCUUCAGGACGCUGAAGAAGAACCACCUGUCUACUGACAUAUUGGCUAACUUCUACCGCUGUGCGAUACAGAGCAUCCUGGCCAACUGUGCCACGGUCUGGUAUGGAAAUUGCUACGUUGCUGACCACAAGGCACUGCAGCGGGUGGUGAAAACACGUCACAGGGACUCUACUUCCCGCCAUUGAGGAUGUCCACAAGAAGAGAUGUCUAUGCCGAGCACGCAUCAUUCUCAGGGACUCCUCUCAUCCUGCCAAUAAACUCUUCCAGCUCCUCCCCUCCAGGAGGUGCUACAGGAGCCUUCAGACUAAAACCAGCAGGUUUAGGAACAGCUUCUUCCCCACAGCUGUCACUCUACUGAACUCAGUCCCCUGCUGAACCUUUCCAUCCACACCCCCUAUCCCCCCUUAGUGACCAUGAUCAUAACUGUCAUUCAUUCUCAACAUUCACCAUAUGCACACAUUGGUUACUGCUAUAGUUUAGGACACUGACAUAGUGUAGUCUCUGUUAUAGUGCGUACACUGUUAUCUAUUAUAGUCUGCUCAGAGAGCUACGCUUCCACUGCAGUAUCUGUAUGUUUGUUCAUAGUACAUCUUUAUAUCUGCCCAUCUGUAUAGCAGUAUAGAACAUCUGUAUGCUAUACAGAUCAUCUGUAUAUCUCUACAUAUGUAUACACUGUACAUCUGUACAUUUGUCUGCAGUUCAUCUGUAUAUUUGUCUCUCUGUACAUAAACUGUUUAUAACUAUUUCACCAUUUACACUACCCUUAUCUGUAUAUAUCAGUACAUCUAUAUAUUUGCUUAUUGCACCUACUGCUCUUGCACUUCUGAUUAGAUGCAAACUUUAUUUUGCUACCCUGUAUUUAUUCAUGUGUGAUUACAUUAAAGUGGAAUCAUAUCCUAUCUUACCAGAAUUGUGGACUAGAAUAUGUUUGAGAUGCCUCUGAGGAUGUUUAGUAAGAAAAAACAUUACAUCAUAAAUAUUAAGGUGCUCUACUGGAGUGAAGCAACUGGAAAGCUGCACAAGCAGAAAUGAACGUUCACUUUUCAGCAACUAUUAUAGUGGAGCCUGAACCUACAGUGAGUGCAGCUCUGCAGCCAGAUCUGUGAGCUGAACUAAGUGGCAGCAACAUAAGCAUAUUUUAUAUUUUUUCACAAUUUUAAGCUGUUUUUAAGGAAUCACAUCAUGAGAUUGGUGUAACUGGGGAGGUGCGAGAAUGCAUCUGGAAACAGAAAUAAAAUUGCCUAAUACAGGGGUGAGGAACUCCAGGUCUCAAGGGCCGGUCUCCUGCAGGAUUUAGAUGUGUCCUUGAUCCAUUAAAGCUGAUUUAAAUUGCUAAAUUACCUUCUAAUGGUGGGUGUGCGUGUAUGUGUCCUGGUCGGCUGUCUGCGGCCCGGGACGGUGAGACUCCCCCUCAACAUGUCUUAAAGUUCUCCAGAGGCCUAAAAAUAAACUAAUCAUUUGAUUCAGGUGUGUUCACCAGGGUGAGAUCUAAAACAUGCAGGACACCGGCCCUUGAGGCCCGGAGUUCCCCACCCCUGGCUUAAUAUAUCUGGGACACAAUUUAAAGCUUUACAAACUUAAUUACGAUUAUGUUGUCUGAGAACUAACACAGAGCAGAAAACGUACAUUUUGAUUGAGCUAAUUUUUUAUUAUUCCUCCACAGAUUGGACCAGCAGAGCUCAGAGGUUCCCAGUGGUCAGUCUGCCCAGCAGCAUCAAACACAGCUGGACUCCAUAUUUAUGGUUUGUACAUGUACAACAACUACUUUUACAUCUAUUCUGUUCACAUUCAU